UACGUAGGGUGCGAGCGUUGUCCGGAAUUAUUGGGCGUAAAGGGCUCGUAGGCGGUUUGUCGCGUCGGGAGUGAAAACCCAGGGCUUAACCCUGGGCUGGCUUCCGAUACGGGCAGACUAGAGGUAUGCAGGGGAGAACGGAAUUCCUGGUGUAGCGGUGAAAUGCGCAGAUAUCAGGAGGAACACCGGUGGCGAAGGCGGUUCUCCGGGCAUUACCUGACGCUGAGGAGCGAAAGUGUGGGGAGCGAACAGG
rnacentral:rRNA from 1 species